CACGAACCGUACGAACGUUAUUCGGAAUUACUGGGCUUAAAGGGUUUGUAGGCGGCCUUGUAAGUCAGGUGUGAAAGCCCUCGGCUCAACCGAGGAACAGCGCUUGAUACUGCAAGGCUUGAGGGAGACAGGGGUAAGCGGAACUGAUGGUGGAGCGGUGAAAUGCGUUGAUAUCAUCAGGAACACCGGUGGCGAAAGCGGCUUACUGGGUCUCUUCUGACGGCUGAGGAACGAAAAGCUAGGGUAGCGAACGGG
rnacentral:rRNA from 1 species